rnacentral:rRNA from 1 species
UAAUACGGAGGAUGCAAGCGUUAUCCGGAUUUAUUGGGUUUAAAGGGUGCGCAGGCGGGAAAUUAAGUCAGUGGUGAAAUCCUGCAGCUUAACUGCAGAACUGCCAUUGAUACUGGUUUCCUUGAGUACAGUUGAGGUGGGCGGAAUGUGUAAUGUAGUGGUGAAAUGCUUAGAUAUUACACAGAACACCAAUUGCGUAGGCAGCUCACUAAACUGUUACUGACGCUCAGGCACGAAAGCGUGGGGAGCGAACAGGAUUAGAUACCCUGGUAGUCCACGCUGUAAACGAUGAUCACUCGUUGUUGGCGACACAUUGUCAGCGACCAAGCGAAAGCAUUAAGUGAUCCACCUGGGGAGUACGAUCGCAAGAUUG